rnacentral:rRNA from 1 species
AGUGAACGCUGGCGGUAGGCCUAACACAUGCAAGUCGAACGGCAGCACAGUAAGAGCUUGCUCUUACGGGUGGCGAGUGGCGGACGGGUGAGGAAUGCAUCGGGAUCUACUUUUUCGUGGGGGUUCACGUAGGGAAGCCUAAGCUAAUACCGCAUACGACCUACCGGUGAAAGCGGGGGAUAUUCGCACCUUGCGCGAUUGAAUGAGCCGAUGUCGGACUGGCUAGUUGGCGGGGUAAUGGCCCACCAAGGCGACGAUCCGUAGCUGGUCUGAGAGGAGGGUCAGCCACAUGGGAGCUGAGACAGGGACCAUGCGCCUGCGGUAGGGAGCAGUGGGGAAUAGUGGACAAUGGGGGCAAGCCUUAUCCAGCCAUACCGCGUGUGUUAAGAAGGCGUUGGGGUUGGAAAGCCCGUUUGUUGGUAAAGAAAAGCAUCAGGUUAAUACCACGCGGUUCUGACGGUACCCAAAGAAUAAGCACCGGCUAACUUCGUG